AACGAACGCUGGCGGCAGGCCUAACACAUGCAAGUCGAACGAACCCUUCGGGGUUAGUGGCGGACGGGUGAGUAACACGUGGGAACGUGCCUUUAGGUUCGGAAUAACUCAGGGAAACUUGUGCUAAUACCGAAUGUGCCCUUCGGGGGAAAGAUUUAUCGCCUUUAGAGCGGCCCGCGUCUGAUUAGCUAGUUGGUGAGGUAAUGGCUCACCAAGGCUACGAUCAGUAGCUGGUCUGAGAGGAUGACCAGCCACAUUGGGACUGAGACACGGCCCGAACUCCUACGGGAGGCAGCAGUGGGGGAUCUUGCGCAAUGGGCGAAAGCCUGACGCAGCCAUGCCGCGUGGAUGAUGAAGGUCUUAGGAUUGUAAAAUCCUUUCACCGGUGAAGAUAAUGACUGUAGCCGGAGAAGAAGCCCCGGCUAACUUCGUGCCAGCAGCCGCCGUAACAC
rnacentral:rRNA from 1 species